AUUGAACGCUGGCGGCAUGCUUUACACAUGCAAGUCGAACGGCAGCGCGGGCUUCGGCCUGGCGGCGAGGGGCGAACGGGUGAGUAGUGCAUCGGAACGUGCCCAGUAGUGGGGGAUAGCCCGGCGAAAGCCGGAUUAAUACCGCAUACGACCUGAGGGUGAAAGCGGGGGACCGAAAGGCCUCGCGCUAUUGGAGCGGCCGAUGUCGGAUUAGCUAGUUGGUGGGGUAAGGGCUUACCAAGGCGACGAUCCGUAGCUGGUCUGAGAGGACGACCAGCCACACUGGGACUGAGACACGGCCCAGACUCCUACGGGAGGCAGCAGUGGGGAAUUUUGGACAAUGGGGGCAACCCUGAUCCAGCCAUGCCGCGUGCGGGAAGAAGGCCUUCGGGUUGUAAACCGCUUUUGUUCGGGAAGAAAUCCUCUGGGCUAAUACCCCGGGGGGAUGACGGUACCGGAAGAAUAAGCACCGGCUAACUACGUG
rnacentral:rRNA from 1 species